GCCCGUUUAGCUCAUCGGUAGAGCGCAUCACUAGUAGUUCAACUACAGGAAGUUCAACUAGAGGAAUGAUGAGGUGACUGGUUCGAUUCCAGUAAUGGGCA